GCACUGAUUACAUGUGAGGUAUUGUUUAUUAUUGUUACAGUUACAAAAAGUGUGUGGAAAUCAUAAGGAGCACACAAAAUAGGCGAUCAACUUUGAAUAUAUUUCAUUGUGGGAAGUUGGAACAAAAAAAAAAAAUAAUAGUAUUAACACUGAUAACACUGAUUCAAGCACCAUAAAAGUGAAAUUGAUAAAUAAAAUCAUGAAAUUUCUAGAAGAAAAACUUUGUUUAGAAUGUGCCAAAAUCCGGUGCGUGUUGGUUCAUAACAAUUAGGCACAUCACGCACACAGUUAAACGUCUAAAAAAAGUCAAACAAAGCAUUAAAAGCGAAGUACUAAAAACUCGCACUAUAGCUAUAGGUUCUGAUUUAAAGAACUUUCCCCAUUUUUUUCCAUUCAUUCCCUUGUGAAAAUGAAAUGGUCAACCGAUCACAUUGUGGCUUGAUUCGUGGUGCCGCACCGCCGAGAAUUAGUUGAAUAGUAUUCAAAAUAUUCACAUGAGGGGUUUAUCACAUAUGAAUGCGGACGACAAACACCACAAAAAAAAAGAGUGACGAAUGAUUUUGACAUGGAAAAUUUGUAAUUAUUUUGCCAAAACGGAAGGUGUAUGGCGCCAAUAUCGAAAACCAACGAUUUUGAUGGUGGAACCGCUAUAGAUAUGCAAUCGCGUCGUUUUGAAGUAGUAACGAUGAAAGUUGUUGUGCCUUUAUUUGGUGAAUGGCGCAUUGAUUCAACGCAAUAAAUAAACUGGCGUGUAAAACAACUCAUUGACAUACAAAUAAAUCUCAAUUGUAUUGUU